CUAGGUGGUAGAUAGGCCGGGGGUGUAAGUACAGCGAUGUAUUAAGCCGACCGGUACUAAUAGAUCGAGGUCUUGACCU
rnacentral:rRNA from 1 species